ACGGGUGAGUAAUGCCUAGGAAUCUGCCUGGUAGUGGGGGACAACGUUUCGAAAGGAACGCUAAUACCGCAUACGUCCUACGGGAGAAAGCAGGGGACCUUCGGGCCUUGCGCUAUCAGAUGAGCCUAGGUCGGAUUAGCUAGUUGGUGAGGUAAUGGCUCACCAAGGCGACGAUCCGUAACUGGUCUGAGAGGAUGAUCAGUCACACUGGAACUGAGACACGGUCCAGACUCCUACGGGAGGCAGCAGUGGGGAAUAUUGGACAAUGGGCGAAAGCCUGAUCCAGCCAUGCCGCGUGUGUGAAGAAGGUCUUCGGAUUGUAAAGCACUUUAAGUUGGGAGGAAGGGUUGUAAAUUAAUACUUUGCAAUUUUGACGUUACCGACAGAAUAAGCACCGGCUAACUCUGUGCCAGCAGCCGCGGUAAUACAGAGGGUGCAAGCGUUAAUCGGAAUUACUGGGCGUAAAGCGCGCGUAGGUGGUUUGUUAAGUUGGAUGUGAAAUCCCCGGGCUCAACCUGGGAACUGCAUCCAAAACUGGCAAGCUAGAGUAUGGUAGAGGGUGGUGGAAUUUCCUGUGUAGCGGUG
rnacentral:rRNA from 1 species